rnacentral:rRNA from 1 species
UAAAUUGUUCAUUAAUUGUGGACUGGAAUGAAGGAAAAAAUGGUUUAAAACUGUCUUAAAAUUAUCAUUUUGAAUUUUAAUUAUUUAUAAAAAUGUGAAUAUGUUAUUUAGGGACAAGAAGACCCUACAAAGCUUUAUAUAGUUAUAUUUUAAUUGUUUAUAUAAGACUAUUUUAAUUGGGGCAAUGAUUUAUUUAUAAUAAAUAUAAAUUAAAUAGAAUUAAUAAAAAUUAUAUUAAAUGAUCCAUUAUUAAUGAAUACUGAUUAAGUUACUUUAGGGAUAACAGGAUAAUUUUUAUUAGAAAGUUCUUAUUAAUAAUAAAGUUUAUUACCUCGAUGUUGAAUUAAUUUAAUUAAAUGGUGAAGUAGCUUUUUGAGUUUGACUGUUCGUCAAUUAAAUAAUUACAUGAUCUGAGUUC